GAAAUGCGAUAAGUAAUGUGAAUUGCAGAAUUCCACGAAUCAUCGAAUCUUUGAACGCACAUUGCGCCCGCCAGUAUUCUGGCGGGCAUGCCUGUUCGAGCGUCAUUUCAACCCUCGCGCCCCGUUUCGGCGGGCUGCGGUGUUGGGGACCGGCACAACCGCGCCCUCCGGGGCACGGCGCCGCCCCCCAAAUUCAGUGGCGGCCUCGCUGCAGCCUCCCUUGCGUAGUAGCACACCUCGCACUGGAGCGCGGCCCGGCCACGCCGUAAAACCCCCGACUUUUAGAGUUUGACCUCGGAUCAGGUAGGAAUACCCGCUGAACUUAA
rnacentral:misc_RNA from 1 species